UACGGAGGGUGCAAGCGUUAUCCGGAUUCACUGGGUUUAAAGGGUGCGUAGGAGGGCAGGUAAGUCAGUGGUGAAAUCUCCGGGCUCAACCCGGAAACUGCCAUUGAUACUAUUAGUCUUGAAUUUUGUUGAGGUAGGCGGAAUAAGUCAUGUAGCGGUGAAAUGCUUAGAUAUGACUUAGAACACCAAUUGCGAAGGCAGCUUGCUAAACAAACAUUGACGCUGAGGCACGAAAGCGUGGGGAUCAAACAGGAUUAGAAACCCCAGUAGUCC
rnacentral:rRNA from 1 species